rnacentral:rRNA from 1 species
GACGAACGCUGGCGGCGUGCUUAACACAUGCAAGUCGAACGCUGAAGCUCAGCUUUUGUUGGGUGGAUGAGUGGCGAACGGGUGAGUAACACGUGAGUAACCUGCCCCCUUCUUUGGGAUAACGCCCGGAAACGGGUGCUAAUACUGGAUAUUCACUGGUCUUCGCAUGGGGGUUGGUGGAAAGGGUUUUUGUGGUGGGGGAUGGGCUCGCGGCCUAUCAGCUUGUUGGUGGGGUGAUGGCCUACCAGGGCUUUGACGGGUAGCCGGCCGCGGAAGGUGGGGGGCGACAUUGGGACUGAGAUACGGCCGGGACGCCUAGGGGGGGAAGUAGUGGGGAGGGUGGCACGAUGGGCGGAAGCCGGAGGCAGGAGGGCCGGGGGCGGGAGGUUGGCCUUCGUGUUGUAAACCGGUACAGCCUGAAACGAUGCGUGAGUGAAGGUAAUGGGUAAAGAAGCCCCGGCUAACUACGUG